UGGGCCAUCUUCACAGUAAAUUUCAUUGUGU
rnacentral:piRNA from 1 species